rnacentral:rRNA from 1 species
CCAGACUCCUACGGGAGGCAGCAGUGGGGAAUAUUGCACAAUGGGGGAAACCCUGAUGCAGCGACGCCGCGUGGAGGAAGAAGGUCUUCGGAUUGUAAACUCCUGUCCUUGGGGACGAUAAUGACGGUACCCAAGGAGGAAGCACCGGCUGACUACGUGCCAGCAGCCGCGGUAAAACGUAGGGUGCAAGCGUUGUCCGGAAUUACUGGGUGUAAAGGGAGCGCAGGCGGAUUGACAAGUUGGGAGUGAAAACUACGGGCUCAACCCGUAACCUGCUUUCAAAACUGUCAGUCUUGAGUGGUGUAGAGGUAGGCGGAAUUCCCGGUGUAGCGGUGGAAUGCGUAGAUAUCGGGAGGAACACCAGUGGCGAAGGCGGGUUCCUGGACAUUAACUGACGCUGAGGCACGAAGGCCAGGGGAGCGAAAGGGAUUAGAUACCCUUGUACU